GACGAACGCUGGCGGCGUGCUUAACACAUGCAAGUCGAACGGAAAGGCCCUGCUUUUGUGGGGUGCUCGAGUGGCGAACGGGUGAGUAACACGUGAGUAACCUGCCCUUGACUUUGGGAUAACUUCAGGAAACUGGGGCUAAUACCGGAUAGGAGCUCCUGCUGCAUGGUGGGGGUUGGAAAGUUUCGGCGGUUGGGGAUGGACUCGCGGCUUAUCAGCUUGUUGGUGGGGUAGUGGCUUACCAAGGCUUUGACGGGUAGCCGGCCUGAGAGGGUGACCGGCCACAUUGGGACUGAGAUACGGCCCAGACUCCUACGGGAGGCAGCAGUGGGGAAUAUGGCACAAUGGGCGGAAGUCUGAUGCAGCAACGCCGCGUGCGGGAUGACGGCCUUCGGGUUGUAAACCGCUUUCGCCUGUGACGAAGCGUGAGUGACGGUAAUGGGUAAAGAAGCACCGGCUAACUACGUG
rnacentral:rRNA from 1 species